AGGCUGCAACUCGCCUGCACGAAGUUGGAAUUGCUAGUAAUCGUGGAUCAGCAUGCCACGGUGAAUACGUUCCCGGGUCUUGUACACACCGCCCGUCACACCAUGGGAGCCGGUAAUACCCGAAGUCAGUAGUCUAACCGCAAGGAGGACGCUGCCGAAGGUAGGAUUGGCGACUGGGGUGAAGUCGUAACAAGGUAGC
rnacentral:rRNA from 1 species